CCAAACGUCACUCAGCCCAAACGCUUGCGUUAUAUCAUUUGAACAAAACCUCUUGGCUAUCAUCAAUACUUCAAAUGAUGUACAUUAUUUAUGUGUCAUGUGAUUGUUCAUUAGGUACAGUAUAUACAUUAGAUAGACAUUUGUUGACAUCUUACAGCGUCUGCCCUCUGAUUGAGUCAAGUCAACAUCAGCGCGAUGCCGAUGACUAAUGAAUGAGCUACCUGUUGAGAUACACCGCUGCGUUUGUAAAGAGACAAGUUGAUUAAUUGUCACACAGUCACCGAGGGGGCUUCGCAUCAGCCCCCAUCCGCCCUAUUGAAAUUUUAAAUGACAUGCGUGUUGCAGCCGUUUCGUAUUCUGUCAACAGACAAAGCAAGUGAAGUGAACUUCAUUGUCGUCGUCGUAUGGAUAUGUACCACAUUUCCAUGAUGAGGACGGCAAAGACGCUGUAUGGUGAUAUUGAACCGUAUGUGACGGCCGGACAGAGCAGUUGUCCUUCAGUGUACGACACGUUCAAAGUGAUUGCGACACAAAAGAGCCGGUACACGGUUGGAGUGAUUGGUUCCUUGUACGCUCUCUCUCAGCCCAAGAAGAGUUGGCCUCUUGUGUUUGCGCUCAUAUAUCACACUAAUAGAGGUGCACGGGUCCAGUGUGCGCAAUUUUCUACCGUCUCCUAAAAAAAAAAAAAAAAAAAAAAAAAGCAUUCAGUUGUGCCGUCAAGGUCUAUUUGUGAAUGAUACCACAUUUCUCUUUGUAUUACACUGGUUAUUUUUAAAUGGCUAUAUUAUCCUUUUUAAAGCCAUAUUGCCUUAUCUAAUAUGUCAGGCUUUCACAGCCCAAGCGUUCCUUGUGCAUAAGCCUGUAAGACUCGAGCUGUUGUGAUGCCGGAGCUUGCGGUGAAGGAGGACAAAAAAAAAAA